GGUCCAUAUAUUAGAUGAAUACCCUCGAUACAUAUGAAAUAAUAUCUACAAGUUGAUUUGUAUUUUGUAUUCUAAACCGAUGACAUCUGCAUCAGACCUAGAGCUUCUCGUUGCCUCAACGGCCGGUGUCGCAGCCGUCGGAUCUGGCGGCUGGAUUUGUCUGCGCCAAAGGUGUGCUUGUGGCGCCUCCCUACGCGCGUAGCAUCGGUGAGCUUUUGCACCACCCUCUGCACCCGGCCGACGACGGUGAGCACCCACACGUACAUCCCUCCGAGCCCUGUGCCGAAUGCCUAGCUAGCUCUCUCCUCGAUCGGCUCCUCGCUGCAGGCCUUCCUCCGCCGAUCGAGAGCAAUCUCCUCGCCACUCGUACGCUUCCCUCUGCACCUGUGCUGGCAGCUGCCGCACGUACGCCUCUGCCGCCGCCGCCGCCAUUAUUCGAACCCUCCCUAGCGUACAUGCUUUGAGUGUUCUGGUUGAAGUCAAGACAGCGAGCGCCCAGAGAUUUCAAUCCCAUAUAGGAAAUCUAAGGAACGGAGUCCUGUAAAUACAGAAUAACUACCAAUACUCGUAAAUAUCUAUUCAAUCUUAUCCGGCCUAUGUUAUCCUCACACCACCUAUUCAAUCUUAUCCUCUAUGUUAUCUCUUCCCCUUUCCUCCUCCUCUCUCUCUCUUCAACUAUCAUGUGCACGGAGGCAAUGGUAGUGGCUGGCCAUGCAGGGAGGUGUGUUGGGCGUGGAGAAAGCUACCGUCACCGCCGUCGCUGCUGGUGGUGGAGGCAUGGGUGUAAAGGAGGAAAUCGUGAAACUGUUUGUGGGGUAGGUGCCCGGCCAAGCAAAUGAUGGAGGCGAAGCUACUCACCACAUUCUAGGAGGUGGCCAUCGUCGACGAGAUCACUGACAUGAAGGACAAGGCCUCUCGAGGUGUGGAUCCGUAUGACAGAUUUGGGCUCAUGACCCCAAAGCACUCAUGUUGGCUUUGUUUUGGUGUUUGAUUUGGGGCUUUUUACAUAUUCUAUGGGUGUUUUUAUAGCUAUGGCAACUUUUUUCUAUAAUUGAUUUAUUUUGUCGGUUUUUAUUGACCUCUCUCUUGAUAAAUAUAUGAUUUUUUUGUUCUUAUUGCGAUGAUA